AGAGUUUGAUCAUGGCUCAGGAUGAACGCUGGCGGCGUGCCUAAUACAUGCAAGUCGAGCGAACGGACGAGAAGCUUGCUUCUCUGAUGUUAGCGGCGGACGGGUGAGUAACACGUGGAUAACCUACCUAUAAGACUGGGAUAACUUCGGGAAACCGGAGCUAAUACCGGAUAAUAUUUUGAACCGCAUGGUUCAAAAGUGAAAGACGGUCUUGCUGUCACUUAUAGAUGGAUCCGCGCUGCAUUAGCUAGUUGGUAAGGUAACGGCUUACCAAGGCAACGAUGCAUAGCCGACCUGAGAGGGUGAUCGGCCACACUGGAACUGAGACACGGUCCAGACUCCUACGGGAGGCAGCAGUAGGGAAUCUUCCGCAAUGGGCGAAAGCCUGACGGAGCAACGCCGCGUGAGUGAUGAAGGUCUUCGGAUCGUAAAACUCUGUUAUUAGGGAAGAACAUAUGUGUAAGUAACUGUGCACAUCUUGACGGUACCUAAUCAGAAAGCCACGGCUAACUACGUGCCAGCAGCCGCGGUAAUACGUAGGUGGCAAGCGUUAUCCGGAAUUAUUGGGCGUAAAGCGCGCGUAGGCGGUUUUUUAAGUCUGAUGUGAAAGCCCACGGCUCAACCGUGGAGGGUCAUUGGAAACUGGAAAACUUGAGUGCAGAAGAGGAAAGUGGAAUUCCAUGUGUAGCGGUGAAAUGCGCAGAGAUAUGGAGGAACACCAGUGGCGAAGGCGACUUUCUGGUCUGUAACUGACGCUGAUGUGCGAAAGCGUGGGGAUCAAACAGGAUUAGAUACCCUGGUAGUCCACGCCGUAAACGAUGAGUGCUAAGUGUUAGGGGGUUUCCGCCCCUUAGUGCUGCAGCUAACGCAUUAAGCACUCCGCCUGGGGAGUACGACCGCAAGGUUGAAACUCAAAGGAAUUGACGGGGACCCGCACAAGCGGUGGAGCAUGUGGUUUAAUUCGAAGCAACGCGAAGAACCUUACCAAAUCUUGACAUCCUUUGACAACUCUAGAGAUAGAGCCUUCCCCUUCGGGGGACAAAGUGACAGGUGGUGCAUGGUUGUCGUCAGCUCGUGUCGUGAGAUGUUGGGUUAAGUCCCGCAACGAGCGCAACCCUUAAGCUUAGUUGCCAUCAUUAAGUUGGGCACUCUAAGUUGACUGCCGGUGACAAACCGGAGGAAGGUGGGGAUGACGUCAAAUCAUCAUGCCCCUUAUGAUUUGGGCUACACACGUGCUACAAUGGACAAUACAAAGGGCAGCGAAACCGCGAGGUCAAGCAAAUCCCAUAAAGUUGUUCUCAGUUCGGAUUGUAGUCUGCAACUCGACUACAUGAAGCUGGAAUCGCUAGUAAUCGUAGAUCAGCAUGCUACGGUGAAUACGUUCCCGGGUCUUGUACACACCGCCCGUCACACCACGAGAGUUUGUAACACCCGAAGCCGGUGGAGUAACCUUUUAGGAGCUAGCCGUCGAAGGUGGGACAAAUGAUUGGGGUGAAGUCGUAACAAGGUAACC
rnacentral:rRNA from 1 species